GGGCUGUAGCUCAGCUGGGAGAGCGUCUGGCUGGUAGCCAGAAGGUCACGGGUUCGAAUCCCGUCAGCUC
rnacentral:tRNA from 1 species